rnacentral:rRNA from 1 species
GACGAACGCUGGCGGCGUGCCUAACACAUGCAAGUCGAACGGAGAUAGUUAAUGAAGCUUGCGAUUUAGCUAUCUUAGUGGCGAACGGGUGAGUAACGCGUGGGUAACCUGCCCUUAAGACCGGGACAACAGCUGGAAACGGCUGCUAAUACCGGAUGUAUUGUCCGAGAGGCAUCUCUUGGAGAAGAAAGCUGGCCUCUGAAAAUGCUAGCGCUUAGGGAUGGACCCGCGUCUGAUUAGCUAGUUGGUGGGGUAAAAGCCUACCAAGGCGACGAUCAGUAGCCGGCCUGAGAGGGUAAACGGCCACACUGGGACUGAGACACGGCCCAGACUCCUACGGGAGGCAGCAGUGGGGAAUCUUCCGCAAUGGACGAAAGUCUGACGGAGCAACGCCGCGUGUAUGAAGAAGGCCUUCGGGUUGUAAAAUACUGUUGUUAGGGAAGAACGGCAUCUGUGUAAAUAAUGCAGGUGAUUGACGGUACCUAACGAGGAAGCCCCGGCUAACUACGUGCCAGCAGCCGCGGUAAUACGUAGGGGGCAAGCGUUGUCCGGAAUCAUUGGGCGUAAAGGGCGCGUAGGCGGCUAUAUAAGUCUGAUGUGAAAGUGCGGAGCUUAACU